rnacentral:lncRNA from 10 species
AACUCUUUUUAUAGACUCUGCAAGUGGACAUUUCGAGUGCUUUGAGGCUUACGGUGAAAAAGGAAAUAUCUUCCCAUAAAAAGUAGACAGAAGAAUUCUGAAAAACUUUGUGAUGGGCACGUUCAUCUCACAGAGUUGAAACUUUCUUUUGAUUGAGCAGUUUGGAAACCCUCUUUUUACAGAAUCUGCAAGUGGACAUUUGGAGCACUUUGCGGCCUAUGGUAGACUAGGAAAUAUGUUCACAUAAAAUCUAGACAGAAGUAAUCUGAGAAACAACUUUGUGAUGUGUGCAUUCAUCUCACAGAGAUAAACAUUUCUUUUGAUUGAGCAGUUUUGAAACUGUCUUUUUGUAGAAUCUGCAAGUGGACAUUUGGAGCGCUUUGAGGCCUAUGGUGGAAAAUGAAAUAUCUUCACAUAAAAACUAUAUUGAAGUGUUCUGAGAAAGAUUUUGUGAUGUGCGCAUUCAUCACCCAGAGUUGAAUCUUUCUUUCGAAGGACCAGUUUUGAAAUACUCUGUAGAAUCUUCAAGUGGACAUUUCGAGUACCUUGAGGCCUAUGGUUUAAAAGGAAAUAUCUUCACAUAAAAACAAAACAGAAGAAUUCUGAGAAAGUUCUUUGUGAUAUGUGCGUUCAUCUCGCAGAAUUGAGCCUUUCUUUUGAUUGAGCAGUGUUGAAACCCUCUUUUUGUAGAAUCUGCAAAUGGUCAUUUGGAGCACUUUGAAGCCUACGGUGGAAAAGGAAUUUAUCUUCACAUAAAAACUAGAGAGAAGAAUUCUGACAAACUUCUUUGUGAUGUGUGCGUUCAUCUCACAGAGUUGAAACUUUCUUUUGAUUGAGCUGUUUGGAAAGACUCUUUUUGUAGAAUCUGCAAGUGGACAUUUGGAGCACUUUGUGGCCUAUGAUAGAAAAGGAAAUAUCUUCACAUAAAAUUCAGACAGAGCCAAUCUGAGAAACUACUUUGUGAUUUGUGCAUUCAUUUCACAGAGUUAAAACUUUAGUUUGGUUGAGCAGUUUUGAAACUCUCUUUUUGUAGAAUCUGCAAGUGGACAUUUGGAGCGCUUUGAGGCCUAUGGUGGAAAAGGAAAUAAUUUCACAUAAAUACUAGACAGAAGAAUUCUGAGAAACUUCUUUGUGAUGUGUGUGUUCAUCUCACUGAGUUGAACCUUCAUUUUGAUUGAGCAUUUUGGAAGCACUCCGUUUGCAGAAUCUGCAAGUGGAGAUUUGGAGCGCUUUGCGGCCAGUGUUAGAAAAGGAAAUACCUGCACAUAAAAUCUAGACAGAAGCAAUAUGAGAAAAUUCUUUGUGAUAUGUGCAUUCAUCUCAGAGACUUAAACACUGCUUUUGAUGGAGCAUUUUUAAACUCUGUUUUUGUAGAAUCUGGAAGAGUACAUUUGGAGCGGUUUGAGGACAAUGUGGAAAAGAAAAUAUCUUCACAUAAAAACCAGAUUGAAGAAUACUGUGAAACUUCUUUGUGAUGUGUGCGUUCAUCUCACAGAGUGGAACCUUUCUUUUGAUUGAGCUGUUUGGAAACACUCUUUUUGUAGAAUCUGCAAGUGGACAUUUUGAGCACUUUGUGGCCUAUGGUAGAAAAGGAAAUAUCUUCACAUAAAGUUCAGACAGAAGCAAUCUGAGAAACUACUUUGUGAUGUGUGCAUUCAUUUCACAGAGUUAAACUUUUCUUUUGAUUGAGCUGUCUUGAAACUCUAUUUUGUAGAAUCUGCAAGUGGACAUUUGGAGCGCUUUGAGGCCUAUGGUAGUAAAAGAAACAUCUUCACAUAAAAUCUAGACAAAAGCAAUCUGAGAAACUUCUUUGUGAUGUGUGCUUUCAUCUCACAGGUUUAAAACUUUUGUUUGAUUGAGCAGUUUUGAAACUCUCUUUUUGUAGAAUCUGCAAGUGGGCAUUUGGAGUGCUUUUAGGCCUAUGGUGGAAAAGGAAAUAUCUUCCCAUAAAAACUAGACAGAAGAAUUCUGAGAAACUUCUUUGUGAUGUGUGUGUUCAUCUCACAGAGUUGAAACUUCCUUUUGAUUGAGCAGUUUGGAAACACUCUUUUUGUAAAAUCUACAAGUGGACACUUGGAGCGCUUUGGGGCCUAAGGUAGAAAAGGAAAUAUCUUCACAUAAAACCUAGACAGAAGCAAUCUGAGAAACUUCUUUGUGAUGUGUGCAUUCAUCUCACAGAGUUGAACCUUCCUUUUGAUUGAGCAGUUUGGAAUCACUCUUUUUGUAGAAUGUGCAAGUGGACAUUUGGAGCGCUUUGCCGACUAUGAUAGAAAAGGAAAUAUCUUCACAUUAAAUCUAGAAAGAAGCAAUCUGAGAAAUCUCUUUGUGACGUGUGCAUUCUUCUCACAGAGUUAAACAUUCCUUUUGAUAGAGCAGUAUUGAAACUCUCUUUUUGUAGAAUCUGCAAGUGGACAUUUGGAGUGCUUUGAGGCCUAUGGUGGAAAAGGAAAUAUCUUCACAUAAAAACUAGACAGAAGAACUCUGAGAAACUUCUUUGUGAUGUGUGCAUUCAUCUGACAGAGUUGAACAUUUCUUUUGAUUGAGAAUAUUUGAAACACUCUUUGUAGAUUCUCUAAGUGAGCAUUUGGAGCGCUUUGCAGCCUAUGUUAGAAAAGGAAACAGUUUCACAUAAAAUCUAGACAGAAGCAAUCUGAGAAACUUCUUUGGGAUGAGUGCAUUCAUCUCACAGGGUUAACUCUUACUUUUGAUUGAGCAGUUUUGAAACUCUCUUUUUGUUGAAUGUGGAAGUGGACAUUUGGAGCGCUUUGAGGCCUACGGUGGAAAACAAAAUAUCUUCACAUAAAAACUCGACAGAAGCUUUUUUAGAAACUUCUUUGUGAUGUGUGCACUGAUCUCAAAGAGUUAAGCCUUUGUUUUGAUUGAGCAGUUUUGAAUCUCUCUUUUUGUAGAAUCUGCAAGUUAACAUUUGGAGCGCUUUGAGGCCUGUGGAGGAAAAGGAAAUAUUUUCACAUCAAAACUACACAGAAGAAUUCGGAGAAACUUCUUUGUGAUGCUUUGUGAUGUUUAUCUCACAGAGUUGAACCUUUCUUUUGAUUAAGCAGUUUGGAAACACUCUUUUUGUGGAAUCUGCAAAUGGACAUUUGGAGUGAUUUGCAGCCUAUGUUAGAAAAGGAAAUAUAUUCCCAUAAAAUCUAGAUAGAAUGAAUCUGAGAAACUUCUUUUUGAUGUGUGCAUUCAUCUCACAGAGUUAAAACUUUCUUUUGAUUGAGCUGUCUUGAAACUCUCUUUUUGUAAAAUCUGCAAGUGGACAUUUGGAGCGCUUUGAGGCCUAUGGUGGAAAAGUAAAUAUUUUCACAUAAAAACUAAACAGAAAAAUUCUGAGAAACUUCUUUGUGAUUUGUGCUUACAUCUCAAAGAGUUGAACCUUUAUUUUGACUGAGCAGUUUGGAAGCACUCUUUUUGUGGAAUAUGCAAGUGGACAAUUGGAACACUUUGUGACCUCUCGUAGAAAAGGAAAUAUCUUCACAGAAAAUCUAGAUAAAAGCAGUCUGAUAAAGUACUUUAUGAUGUGUCCAUUCAUCUCACAGAGUUAAACAUUUCUUUUGAUUGAGCAGUUUUGAAACUCUCUUUUUGUAGAAUCUGCAAGUGUACAUUUGGAGUGGUUUGAGGUCUAUGGUGGAAAAGGAAAUGUCUUCAGAUAAAAACUAGACAGAAGAAUUCUGAGAAACUUCUUUGUGAUGUGCGAAUUCAACUCACACAGUUGAACCUUUCUUUUGAUAGGGCAGGUUUGAAACACUCUUUUUGCAGAAUCUGCAAGUGGACAAUUGAAGCGCUUUGAGGCCUAUGGUGGAAAAAUAAAUAUCUUCCCAUAAAAAAUAGAAAUAAGCAUUCUCAGAAACUUCUUUGUGAUGUUUGCCUUCAACGCACAGAGUUGAACAUACCUCAUCAUAGAGCAGUUUUGAAACACUCUUUUAGUAGAAUCUGCAAGUGGAUAUAUGGAAAGCCUUGAGGCCUUCAUUGGAAACGGGUACAUCUUCACAUAAAAACUAGAGAGAAGCAUUCUCAGAAACUUCUUUGUGAUGUAUACAUUCAACUCACAGAGUUGAACCUUUCUUUUGAUAGAGCAGUUUUGAAACACUCUUCUUGUAGAAUCUGCAACUGCAUAUUUGAACUGCUUCGAGGCAUUCUUUGGAAAUAGGAUACCUUCACAUAAUCACUAGACAGAAGCAUUGUCAGAAACUUCUUUGUGACGUGCGAAUUUAACUCACAGAGUUGAACCUUUCUUUUGAUAGGGCAGGUUUGAAACACUCUUUUUGCCGAAACUGCAAGUGGACAUUUGAAGCGCUUUGAGGCCUAUGGUGGAAAAGAAAAUAUCUUCACAUAAAAACUAGACAGAAGCAUUCUCAGAAACUUCUUUGUGAUGUUAGCAUUCCACUCACAGAGUUGGACACACUUUAUCAUAGAGCAGUUUUGAAACACUCUUUUAGUAGAAUCUGCGAGUGGAUAUUUGGACCGCUUUGAGGCUUUCUUUGGAAAUGGGAAUAUCUUCACAUAAUCUCUAGAGAGAAGUUUUCUCAGAAACUUCUUUGUGCUGUGUGCAUUCAACUCACAGAAUUGAACCUUUCUUUUGAUAGAGCAGUCUUGAAACACUGUUUUUGUAGAAUCUGCAAGUGGACAUUUGGAGAGCUUUGAGACCUAUGGCCGAAAAGGAAAUAUCCUCACAUAAAAUAUAGACAGAAUCAUUCUGAGAAACAUCUUUGUGAUGUUUGCAUUCAACUCACAGAGUUGAAGAUACUUUAUCAUAGGGCAGUUUUGACACACUCUUUUAGUAGAAUCUGCAAGUGGAUAUUUGGACCGCUUUGAGGCAUUCGUUGGAAAUGGGAAUGUCUUCAGAUAAUCACUAGAUAGAAGCUUUCUCAGAAACUACUUUGUGAUGUGUACAUUCAUGUCACAGAGUUGAACCUUUCUUCUUAUAGAGAAGUUUAAGAACCCCCUGUUUGUAGAAUCUGCAUGUGGGUAUUUCGACCAGUUUGAGGUCUUCGUUGGAAACGGGUAUAUCUUCACAUAAACUCUAGACAGAGG